CCCAUCGGUUCCCGUUCGAUCAGUGAAGUUAAACAUCGUAGAGCCAGGUUAGUACUUAGAUGGGGGCCGGUUGGAACACCUGGUACUGUAA